rnacentral:rRNA from 1 species
AAACUUUUAGCAACGGAUCUCUUGGCUCUGGCAUCGAUGAAGAACGCAGCGAAAUGCGAUACGUAAUGUGAAUUGCAGAAUUCAGUGAAUCAUCGAAUCUUUGAACGCACAUUGCGCCCGCCAGCACUCUGGCGGGCAUGCCUGUUCGAGCGUCAUUU